UUCCGGUGCCUUUCUCGGCCUCCCCUCUAUACGGGUUGAGACUGACUGCUCUGCUGCCACGUAAUCCGGAGACAAGUCAAACGGGAGGCGGGGGGGGGUCUGCAGCCUAGCACGGCAGACUGUAUAGAGGCUAAAUGCUAAGGAGUCGUACGUGAUUUCUGGAAACCACCGCAUGAAACAAGAACAAGACGGAGUUUAAUAUCUUUUCGUAAAAUAAAAACCGCUUCUCUUCCGCUGUAGGACAUAAAGCCCGGGGGAUAGGCUUUCAGUACUUCUAACAGCUUGAACAUCAGCAGUAAUUGGAAGAGAGGCCUGGAGGUUUUAUCACUGUGGUCAACGGGGCUGGCAGCCUCAUCACCGACAUCUGAUUGCUGCGCCAAGCAGGGAAGAGCCCCUUCUGUUGAGUGCAGAGA